rnacentral:lncRNA from 1 species
CAGGACAAAGAAGCACAAAAUGGCUGAAUAUGAAGAGAAGGUGAGAAGGUACAAGAGAGGGCGUCGAAUGAGAAGCGGGGAGGGAGAGAGAGACAAAGAAUUGUAUGCACAUACACACACAGAGAGAUACAGGGAGAGAUAGAAAGACAGAGAGAGAUCUCACAAAGAAUAGCCCUGCAUGCAGUCGUCGAUAAGCUGAUCAUCAUGAGUUCUCAUACACACACACAUGCAGCGACGACGAUGAUGACAACAACCGAUAAGGAGAAGCAUCUCCCUACACUUCAUACCCUAUCAUCCUCGCUUCUACUCUCCCAUCAUACCCGCCUUCAAAUUUAUCCAAAUUAACCUCCUAGCUUCAAGCCUCCCCUUCUCCCUUCAUACGUGCCUUCGAAGAUACCCUGAUUGACCUCCUUGCUUCAACCCUGGUCAUUGAGAUUCGUCUUUGCAUUCAAU